GGAUUAGAUACCCUGGUAGUCCACGCCGUAAACGAUGUCUACUAGCUGUUCGUGACCUUGUGUCGUGAGUAGCGCAGCUAACGCACUAAGUAGACCGCCUGGGGAGUACGGUCGCAAGAUUAAAACUCAAAUGAAUUGACGGGGGCCCGCACAAGCGGUGGAGCAUGUGGUUUAAUUCGACGCAACGCGAAGAACCUUACCUACUCUUGACAUCCAGAGAAGACUGCAGAGAUGCGGUUGUGCCUUCGGGAACUCUGAGACAGGUGCUGCAUGGCUGUCGUCAGCUCGUGCCG
rnacentral:rRNA from 1 species